rnacentral:rRNA from 1 species
GACGAACGCUGGCGGCGUGCCUAACACAUGCAAGUCGAGCGAUGAAACCCUUCGGGGUGGAUUAGCGGCGGACGGGUGAGUAACACGUGGGUAACCUGCCUCAAAGAGGGGGAUAGCCUCCCGAAAGGGAGAUUAAUACCGCAUAACAUUAGUUUUUCGCAUGAAGAACUAAUUAAAGGAGUAAUCCGCUUUGAGAUGGACCCGCGGCGCAUUAGCUAGUUGGUGAGGUAAAGGCUCACCAAGGCGACGAUGCGUAGCCGACCUGAGAGGGUGAUCGGCCAAAUUGGAACUGAGACACGGUCCAGACUCCUACGGGAGGCAGCAGUGGGGAAUAUUGCACAAUGGGCGAAAGCCUGAUGCAGCAACGCCGCGUGAGUGAUGAAGGCCUUCGGGUUGUAAAGCUCUGUCUUUUGGGACGAUAAUGACGGUACCAAAGGAGGAAGCCACGGCUAACUACGUGCCAGCCGCCGCCGUAACAC